CCACACAAGCUCUCUUGCCUUCUGCCAUGUAAGAUAUGACUGUGCUCCUCCUUCACCUUCUGCCAUGAUUGUGAGGCCUCCACAGCCAUGUGGAACUGUGAGUCCAUUAGACCUCUUUUUCUUUAUAAAUUACCCAGUCUUGGGUAUAUCUUUUUAGGGAAGCUGUUUUUCCCUCUUUGGGGUCUCAGAGAGAUUGGUGGCAAGGACUCCUGGGAAGAGAAAAGCUGAAGGACACUCUGGCAAGAGCCUCAUGAAGAGAGAUAUUAAGGGAACAAGAGGUGCCCUGCAAAGAGAUGAAGCUCCAGGCUAAGAGGAAACCCCGAGCCAAACGUAUGGCCACCUCUGACCACUCGACCAGCCCAGCAUGGUGUACAUUUCUGGGUAGCUUAUCACGCCUUCCAAGCAUUGCCUUUAUCUUCCUUCUCCCCAUCAAGCCUGUAUUGUUUUCCUUUUGAAUCAUAAGCACUUUUGUUAAAUACCUCAAAUCUUUCGAGAACAGCAAGGAGCAAAAUAAACUUAACUUCUCUGAGACCAUGUUUCUUCAUCUGGAAUAUAAUCAUUUGUACUUUACAGGAUCACAGGGAACCUCCCCUGUCUCCUUUCAUGCCAAACCUAAGGACCUCAAGCCUCAGGUCCCAUUUCACAGAGAAACAUUCCUCACUGAUUGCAUUUAUCCAGAAUAGACCAUGGAGGUGUGAGCUUUUCGGACAAUAUUGGGGGGACUGUUCCCAGGAGACAGGCACAUGGCAGGAGAGAGUAGGAGGAGAGGGCAGUGUGAGCACUGAGGACCCAGGGUGAGCCCCCAUAUGGGUGCAGAAUUUCCCCUGAUAAAACUCCCUAUUUAAUCAGGCUGCAGAAGCAGUCCCA
rnacentral:lncRNA from 10 species